rnacentral:lncRNA from 1 species
CCAUGACACACAAUCACAGCUGCCCUCCUCUGAGUAAGGACACAAUUCAGCACAGAGCUCUGCCCCACUGCUGGCCAUGUAUGUGUCCUGGUAAAGGCAGAAGGGGAGCUCAGGGGCUGCAUGGGGCUCCGUCAUCAAACAAGUGGCCUGCAAGGGCUGUGAGUCCUCCUUAAAUGCUUCCUCCAGCCCUGACCCUGCUCUGCCAACGAGGAAAGUACUGCCAAAGGGUCAGGUGCAGACAGGAACACCUAUUUUGUCCAGUUACUCCUUUUUAUUAUGAAAGAUUGGAAUUACAGGUGGCGUCUGUGAAAAUGUCUGACACUGCUGUUGUCACUGCUGCUUCCAUUUGCUCUGCAGUCCCUCAGAGGAGGACAGCACACUCCAAAAGAGGAAGUAGAAGACAAUGAGGAGGUGCCCUUCCAAAAUCUCCUUACCAGAACCAAGAGCAACAGCAAAGCUAAAGAUUAACAAGCAGCAGAUGCA